rnacentral:rRNA from 1 species
CCUACGGGUGGCAGCAGUGAGGAAUAUUGGUCAAUGGACGCGAGUCUGAACCAGCCAAGUAGCGUGAAGGAUGACUGCCCUAUGGGUUGUAAACUUCUUUUAUAAGGGAAUAAAAUGAGCCACGUGUGGCUUUUUGUAUGUACCUUAUGAAUAAGGAUCGGCUAACUCCGUGCCAGCAGCCGCGGUAAUACGGAGGAUCCGAGCGUUAUCCGGAUUUAUUGGGUUUAAAGGGAGCGUAGGUGGGUUGUUAAGUCAGUUGUGAAAGUUUGCGGCUCAACCGUAAAAUUGCAGUUGAUACUGGCAGACUUGAGUACAGUAGAGGUAGGCGGAAUGCGUGGUGUAGCGGUGAAAUGCUUAGAUAUCACGAAGAACUCCGAUUGCGAAGGCAGCUCACUAAACUGCAACUGACAUUGAGGCUCGAAAGUGUGGGUAUCAAACAGGAUUAGAUACCCCUGUAGUC